rnacentral:rRNA from 1 species
GACGAACGCUGGCGGCGUGCUUAACACAUGCAAGUCGAACGGAAAGGCCCUGCUUUUGUGGGGUGCUCGAGUGGCGAACGGGUGAGUAACACGUGAGUAACCUGCCCUUGACUUUGGGAUAACUUCAGGAAACUGGGGUUAAUACCGGAUAGGAGCUCCUGCUGCAUGGUGGGGGUUGGAAAGUUUCGGCGGUUGGGGAUGGACUCGCGGCUUAUCAGCUUGUUGGUGGGGUAGUGGCUUACCAAGGCUUUGACGGGUAGCCGGCCUGAGAGGGUGACCGGCCACAUUGGGACUGAGAUACGGCCCAGACUCCUACGGGAGGCAGCAGUGGGGAAUAUUGCACAAUGGGCGGAAGCCUGAUGCAGCAACGCCGCGUGCGGGAUGACGGCCUUCGGGUUGUAAACCGCUUUCGCCUGUGACGAAGCGUGAGUGACGGUAAUGGGUAAAGAAGCACCGGCUAACUACGUG